CUGUACAUAUAUUUCACUUCAUUAGGUUACUGCUUCAAAAGGUGAAGAAUAUGCUAAAUCAGUGAAUGCCAUAUUCAUGGAGUGCAGUGCCAAAGAUGACACCAAUGUAAAGGACCUAUUCUCUAGAAUAGCUGAUACUAUACCAUUAGAUAAAUUAAAUGUCAAUUUAAAACUCGGUACGGUCAAAUUAAACAGAAAAUCUGGACACUCGAGCUCAGGUUGUUCCUGUUGAAAUGAGAAGCACACACGAAUAAUUUAUCACACAUCCAGAGGGAAAGGAUAUCAUAUCUUAUUAAAUGCAUCAAUUCAACAUCACUACUCACCAGCUGGUACAUAUAGUCUGUUAUAUGGAGCAGCUGUGGAUUAACGUUUGUGUAUGGAGCGACACGAAAGCAAUGAUUAUAAUUAAUAGCUCAUCAAUUUUAUUACUUAAUAACUAUUGUUAUUAUUAUUAUUAUUUAGAACAAUAAUUUUAUUAUUGCAUGGUUCCAAUAGCAAACUAUAUGGUCUACCUUUUAUGUACAAGCCAGUUUUUGGAAUCUAAGGAGAUUUUUUGUAACAUGAGGUCUUCCUCAUAACCUCAUA